rnacentral:rRNA from 1 species
GACGAACGCUGGCGGCGUGCUUAACACAUGCAAGUCGAACGGAAAGGCCCUGCUUUUGUGGGGUGCUCGAGUGGCGAACGGGUGAGUAACACGUGAGUAACCUGCCCUUGACUUUGGGAUAACUUCAGGAAACUGGGGCUAAUACCGGAUAGGAGCUCCUGCUGCAUGGUGGGGGUUGGAAAGUUUCGGCGGUUGGGGAUGGACUCGCGGCUUAUCGGCUUGUUGGUGGGGUAGUGGCUUACCAAGGCUUUGACGGGUAGCCGGCCUGAGAGGGUGACCGGCCACAAUGGGACUGAGAUACGGCCCAGACUCCUACGGGAGGCAACAGUGGGGAAUAUUGGACAAUGGGCGGAAGCCUGAAGCAGCAACGCCGGGUGGGGGAAGACGGCCUUCGGGGUGUAAACCGCUUUCGCCUGUGACGAAGCGUGAGUGACGGUAAUGGGUAAAGAAACACCGGCUAACUACGUG